GACGAACGCUGGCGGCAUGCCUAAUACAUGCAAGUUGAACGAUGAUAUUCUCUGCUUGCAGAGAAUUGAAGAGUAGCGAACGGGUGAGUGACACGUGGGGAACCUGCCCAUGAGAGGGGGAUAACAUUCGGAAACGGUUGCUAAUACCGCAUAAUGCUUUGGACCGCCUGGUCCAGAGACGAAAGACGGCUUUUGCUGUCACUCAUGGAUGGCCCCGCGCCGUAUUAGCUUGUUGGUGAGGUAAUGGCUCCCCAAAGAUGUGAUACGUAGCCGACCGGAGAGGGUGAUCGGCCACACUGGGACUGAGACACGGCCCAGACUCCUACGGGAGGCAGCAGUAGGGAAUCUUCCACAUUGGGCGAAAGCCUGAUGGAGCAAUGCCGCGUGAAUGAAGAAGGUCUUCGGAUCGUAAAGUUCUGUUAUUAGAGAAGAACAAGUCAAGGAGUAACUGUCCUGACUUUGACGGUACCUAACCAGAAAGUCACGGCUAACUACGUG
rnacentral:rRNA from 1 species